rnacentral:lncRNA from 1 species
CAGGUCUCCUAGUGGCUAGUCUGUGGCCCAUUUCAUGUCCCCGAGUGAGGCCUGUGGCUUUGGGGAUGUGUUCUCACCCCAGCUUCUGCUAACGCCGAGGCCUGGCUGUCCCUGUCCCUCUAGGCCUGUCUCUUGUGCUUCUUCUGGGGUCCCUUCCAUUGCUUUUCCCUCAAAUGCGUCCUUAGCUGGUCUCUCCUCUUCCCUUCUGUAUUCCCCCAGGGAUCUCAUUCUGUCUGUGGUUGUAACUAGCACCUAAAGCAAAUUAACCUGCAAAUCUUUGUGUCCAUACAACAGCCUGCUGGACCUUUCCAUGAAGAUGUUCAUCAGCCAACUCAAGUUAAAAACAUCUGAAGGUGAACUCACUGUCUCCUUCCAAAACCCACCUCUCCCUAUUCACUUUGCCUUUGAAGAAGCAGGUCAAUGAGAAAAUGUCCACACUGAAGUCCAUUCUCUGUUCUAAGGUAUAUCAACAGUUCAGUAAUUCUAAAAGACUUGAAUAUACAGAAAUGAAUAAAGAUCAUUGUGAAAUGAUUUUAUAGGAACGUGUUCUAUAAAUAUUGCUUAAGAGAGCAUACAACAGAUUGUCACCAAAUAAAUGUGCUCAUAAUUAACGGUACCCCACUGAUUUCUGCUUAAGAACAACAUGGAGCUUAGUCUGUUUUUCCUUUGGGUUUGUGAAUAUCUUCCUUCCUGAAUUUCAGUUUUGCGUUUUUUUCACUUCUUUGUUUUCAUGACACUUAAGAUGAUAC